GGACUUAUAUUACUAGUCAGAUGGAAAUCUAGUACUAGAAAGAAUAUAAGUCUUUCCUUCUGGGUAAAUUAUUAAAAUUUUAAUAAUUGAACCAGGACGAUUACUUUGAAAAAAUUAGAGUGUUCAAAGCAGGCGAGAAGCAUGAAUAUAUUAGCAUGGAAUAAUAGAAUAGGACGUUUGGACCUAUUUUGUUGGUUUCUAGGACCAUCGUAAUGAUUAAUAGGGACGGUCGGGGGCAUCAGUAUUCAAUUGUCAGAGGUGAAAUUCUUAGAUUUAUUGAAGACUAACUACUGCGAAAGCAUUUGCCAAGGACGUUUUCAUUAAUCAAGAACGAAAGUUAGGGGAUCGAAGA
rnacentral:rRNA from 1 species